rnacentral:rRNA from 1 species
AUGUCAGCAACCCCCUUCCAAUCAACGCGUUUGUUUCUAGCCGUAAUAGACCAUCAAAGCCCAUCCUCCCUCCCUCGAAAAAAAAGAAAAAAAAGAAAGCUUUUCAGUAGUAGUCGAAGGCCAGCAGCCCCUUCUGUUGCUCCACCUUCAGAAACAAUUAAUUUUCUGGUGAUAAUCAGCCCAUUCCUAUCUUUUAAUUACUCCUUGCUCCCCACGGGUUGUUUGACCUCACCCCUUUUAUCUCCUCAUUGCACAGGAUCAACCAUUUUCUUCGGUUGCCCCUUAAUCUUCAAUCUUCUCUUCAUCCUCCCGAUGAUUCUUCUUCCUAUGUGUCUCAUCAUUCCUAAAUAUUCUAGCGUGUACCUACACAAAUCUGAAGGAGAUUUUGUUGCCUGA